CCUACGUGUGGCAGCAGUGGGGAAUAUUGCACAAUGGGGGAAACCCUGAUGCAGCGACGCCGCGUGAAGGAUGAAGUAUUUCGGUAUGUAAACUUCUAUCAGCAGGGAAGAAAAUGACGGUACCUGACUAAGAAGCCCCGGCUAAAUACGCGCCAGCAGCCGCGGUAAUACGUAUGGGGCAAGCGUUAUCCGGAUUUACUGGGUGUAAAGGGAGCGCAGGCGGCCUGCCAAGUCUGGUGUGAAAACCCGGGGCCCAACCCCGGGCCUGCAUUGGAAACUGGCGGGCUGGAGUGUCGGAGGGGCAGGCGGAAUUCCUAGUGUAGCGGUGAAAUGCGUAGAUAUUAGGAGGAACACCGGUGGCGAAGGCGGCCUGCUGGACGAUGACUGACGCUGAGGCUCGAAAGCGUGGGGAGCAAACAGGAUUAGAUACCCCAGUAGUC
rnacentral:rRNA from 1 species